UAGGGAAUAUUCCGCAAUGGGCGAAAGCUUGACGGAGCAACGCCGCGUGAGUGAUGAAGGUCUUCGGAUCGUAAAACUCUGUUAUUAGGGAAGAAAAAAUGUGUAAGUAACUAAGAACGUCUUGACGGUACCGAAUCAGAAAGCCACGGCUAACUACGUGCCAGCAGCCGCGGUAAUACGUAGGUGGCAAGCGUUAUCCGGAAUUAUUGGUCGUAAAGCGCGCGUAGGCGGUUUUUUAAGUCUGAUGUGAAAGCCCACGGCUCAACCGUGGAGGGUCAUUCGAAACUGGAAAACUUGAGUGCAGAAGAGGUAAGUGGAAUUCCAUGUGUAGCGGUGAAAUGCGCAGAGAUAUGGAGGAACACCAGUGGCGAAGGCGACUUUCUGGUCUGUAACUGACGCUGAUGUGCGAAAGCGUGGGGAUCAAACAGG
rnacentral:rRNA from 1 species